rnacentral:ncRNA from 2 species
CAGUCAAAUCAGGGGUGCCAUACGCGAUGGCCGAGAAGAAGGACGCGCCUUCUACUCUUACAACUUGAUACAGUUAAUACUGUCGAAAGGAGAUUUCAUGCCGACAAU